rnacentral:lncRNA from 1 species
GUGCGGCAUCUUUUUGAAUUUUUUCGGCCGUCCGAGCUUCCACAGUACCAUCCAGACUCCUCUAGCAGUCGACCUUCCACAGUGUUCUCCAGAUUUCUCCAACGGACGAACUCCUAUCGUACCUUCCGAACUUCUCUAAUAAUGAGCUCCUUCAGUCGUCCAUCGGACUGCUCCAAAUGCUUUCUGAGCUUCAUUAUCAGUUGAUUUUCUAUAGUGAUCGACUACUCUCCGAAUCUCUUCUGGACUUUCUCCUGUCACGAUCGACUUUACUCC